rnacentral:rRNA from 1 species
UUUUUGAAAAUAAUUUAAAGUCUAGUAUGCCCACUGAUAAAUUAUUAAAGGGCUGCAGUAUUUUGACUGUACAAAGGUAGCAUAAUCAUUAGUCUCUUAAUUGGUGACUUGUAUGAAAGAUUUCAUGAAAUAUAAACUGUCUCUUAUUAAUUUAUAAAAUUUAAUUUUUUAGUAAAAAAGCUAAAAUAAAUUUAAAAGACGAGAAGACCCUAUAGAGUUUAAUUAUUAAAUUAAUUUUUAUUUUUUAUAAAUUUUUUUUUUUUUAUUAAAAUUAUAUUAAUUUUUUUAGGGGGGGGAAAAAAAAAUAAAAAAAAUUUUUUUUAAAAAAAAUUAACAAAAAAAAAUGAAUUUUUGACCCGAUUUUUUCGUUAAAAAAAUUAAAUUACCUUGGGGAAAACCCCGUAUUUUUUUUUUUUAUUUAAAAAAAAAAAAAAAUUUGGCCCCCCCCUUUUGGGUUAAAAAAAAAUUUUAAGGGCAAAAUUUAAAAUUUUUGACCUGUUCCACCUUAAAAAUCUUACAGG